GACGAACGCUGGCGGCGUGCCUAAUACAUGCAAGUAGAACGCUGACGCGAGGAGCUUACUCUUCUUGGAUGAGUUGCGAACGGGUGAGUAACGCGUAGGUAACCUGCCUUGUAGCGGGGGAUAACUAUUGGAAACGAUAGCUAAUACCGCAUCACAAUGGCUGACACAUGUCAUUUAUUUUAAUGGGGCAAUUGCUCCACUACAAGAUGGACCUGCGGUGUAUUAGCUAGUAGGUGAGGUAAUGGCUCACCUAGGCGACGAUACAUAGCCGACCUGAGAAGGAGAUCGGCCACAACUGGACUGAGACACGGCCCAGACUCCUACGGGAGGCAGCAGUAGGGAAUCUUCGGCAAUGGGGGCAACCCUGGCCGAGCAACGCCGCGGGAGUGAAGAAGGUUUUCGGAUCGGAAAGCUCUGUUUUAAGUCAAGAACGGGUGUGAGGGUGGAAAGUUCACACUGUGACGGUAGCUUACCAGAAAGGGACGGCUAACUACGUG
rnacentral:rRNA from 1 species